CGCGGGGUGGAGCAGCCAGGUAGCUCGUCAGGCUCAUAACCUGAAGGUCGUAGGUUCAAAUCCUACCCCCGCCACCA
rnacentral:tRNA from 1 species